AGCAGCCGCGGUAAUUCCAGCUCCAAUAGCGUAUAUUAAAGUUGUUGCAGUUAAAAAGCUCGUAGUUGAAUUUCGGGGUUAGUAGGUUGGUCAUGCCUCUGGUAUGUACUGGUCUCACUGAUUCCUCCUUCCUGAUGAACCUUAAUGCCAUUAAUUUGGUGUUUUGGGGAAUUUGGACUGUUACUUUGAAAAAAUUAGAGUGUUUAAAGCAAGCUAACGCUUGAAUACAUUAGCAUGGAAUAAUGAAAUAGGACGUUCGAUCCUAUUUUGUUGGUUUCUAGGAUUGACGUAAUGAUUAAUAGGGAUAGUUGGGGGCAUUAGUAUUCAAUUGUCAGAGGUGAAAUUCUUGGAUUUAUUGAAGACUAACUACUGCGAAAGCAUUUGCCAGGAUGUUUUCAUUAAUCAAGAACGAAGUUAGGGGAUCGAAGACGAUCAGAUACCGUCGUAGUCUUAACCAUAAACUAUGCCGACUAGGGAUCGGAUGAUGUUAAUUUUUAAUGUACUCAUUCGGCGCCUUACG
rnacentral:rRNA from 1 species